rnacentral:rRNA from 1 species
UACAGAGGGUGCAAGCGUUGUUCGGAAUUACUGGGCGUAAAGGGCUCGUAGGCGGCCAACUAAGUCAGACGUGAAAUCCCUCGGCUUAACCGGGGAACUGCAUCUGAUACUGGAUGGCUUGAGUUCGGGAGAGGGAUGCGGAAUUCCAGGUGUAGCGGUGAAAUGCGUAGAUAUCGGGAGGAACACCUGUGGCGAAAGCGGCUCACUGGACCACAACUGACGCUGAGGCGCGAAAGCUAGGGGAGCAAACAGG